AUUGCGUCGUUCCCCCCCGCACCCCUGUCCCGAAAGGGCCGCGGGCUUUAGCGUGGGGGGGCGGAAGUUGGCUUCCCGUGCAGAUUGUUUUGCGGCUAGCCUGAAACACGGUUCCCUCGCCGCGGACGUCGCGACAAGUGGUGGUCGUCCAGAUUGUACGCGAGUUGCGGGCGAAGCCGCGUCGAGGAGAGCAUUUGGACCCCGUGCGUGCGAGAUGAGUCCUUCACCGAGGGGCAUUUCCAACGAUUGCGACCCAGGUCAGGC
rnacentral:rRNA from 1 species